rnacentral:rRNA from 1 species
AUUGAACGCUGGCGGCAGGCCUAACACAUGCAAGUCGAACGGUAACAGGAAACAGCUUGCUGUUUCGCUGACGAGUGGCGGACGGGUGAGUAAUGUCUGGGAAACUGCCUGAUGGAGGGGGAUAACUACUGGAAACGGUAGCUAAUACCGCAUAACGUCGCAAGACCAAGGAGGGGGACCUUCGGGCCUCUUGCCAUCGGAUGUGCCCAGAUGGGAUUAGCUAGUAGGUGGGGUAACGGCUCACCUAGGCGACGAUCCCUAGCUGGUCUGAGAGGAUGACCAGCCACACUGGAACUGAGACACGGUCCAGACUCCUACGGGAGGCAGCAGUGGGGAAUAUUGCGCAAUGGGCGCAAGCCUGAUGCAGCCAUGCCGCGUGUAUGAAGAAGGCCUUCGGGUUGUAAAGUACUUUCAGCGGGGAGGAAGGGAGUAAAGUUAAUACCUUUGCUCAUUGACGUUACCCGCAGAAGAAGCACCGGCUAACUCCGUGCCAGCCGCCGCCGUAA